AUCAUGGCUCAGAGCGAACGCUGGCGGCAGGCCUAACACAUGCAAGUCGAACGGACCCUUCGGGGUUAGUGGCGGACGGGUGAGUAACACGUGGGAACGUGCCUUUAGGUUCGGAAUAGCUCCUGGAAACGGGUGGUAAUGCCGAAUGUGCCCUUCGGGGGAAAGAUUUAUCGCCUUUAGASCGGCCCGCGUCUGAUUAGCUAGUUGGUGAGGUAAUGGCUCACCAAGGCGACGAUCAGUAGYUGGUYUGAGAGGAUGACCAGCCACAUUGGGACUGAGACACGGCCCAAACUCCUACGGGAGGCAGCAGUGGGGAAUCUUGCGCAAUGGGCGAAAGCCUGACGCAGCCAUGCCGCGUGAAUGAUGAAGGUCUUAGGAUUGUAAAAUUCUUUCACCGGGGACGAUAAUGACGGUACCCGGAGAAGAAGCSCCGGCUA
rnacentral:rRNA from 1 species